GAAAGAAAGAAAGAAAGGAAGGAAGGAAGAAAGGAAGGAAGAAAAGUGCCCCCCUUAUAGUCAUAUAACCAAAAACAAGUCCAGAUUUAAAUUCUCUACUUGAUGUUCCCUGUGUCUUCCAUCUGUAUAAGAAUCCUAAGGCUGGAAGGAAUGCCAGCUAUCAAGUAGGUAAGUAGAGCCCACAUUUAUUCAUCCAAAAGCAGAGUUAAGGAGCAGAAUAGAUGUGUGCACAUUUUCUUUACCAUACCUUGCGUUACAGUCAUGAUAGCUAUCACUUUUCAACAUAAAUUCUUCUUCUAACAUGUGCAAAUGGCCUAAAAAUUAAACAGAAGACAAGUGCCUUGAUGAAACUUUAGGAUUAUUAUAAAUCCACAAAUGAGAGUUUCAAUAUCUAAAAUUUGAAUCAUCAAUUUCUACUGGAGCUACUAUCAAGAGGCACAGUUAAAUCUCUGCUAACUACAUCAUCCAUUCCUUUACUAAUACAUUUCCAGUGCUAAUGAUUGAAUCCAAGGUCUCACCUCUCUUAAGCCCAUGCUCUACCCUAGAGAGCUACAUCACUAGACUUCAUUGUCUUAAAAGCACCAUUGUUUUAUUUUUGAGUCCGGAUACAAUUCAAAACUGAAUGUUGCCUUUCCCCUUCACCUCCUCCAGCGGUAAGAUGUGAGCCACCGGCAAGGAGCGACACCAAUAAGGCGUCGGAUAAGUCUGAUAAAAUAUAUAGAUUUAUGAUAAUUAAGACAGAGCUAACAGAUGAGAAUCCUAGUCAUUGGCCAAGUGACAUUUGAACCUAAUACAAGUCUCUCUGUGUAUUAAUUUGGGCACUAACUCAGGCGGGCGGCUGGCAUAAAACGCACACGUGGCGCUGGGGCUCGGCGGUUUAUAGCAGAAAAAUUUAUCAUAACAGAAUGGUAUCAGUGAGCUGGAUGACCCCAUGCCCCAAGGUUCCCAGAGAAAGAGGGAAAGCUGCCGCCACAGCCGGCCCUGUUGGGCUGCUGAGAGGCAUUGGAGCAGCUUCCAUAGGUUCGUGCCGUCCAGGCACUCCUGAGAUGAUAAAGACAGAUCCAGAUAAAGAAAAACCUCUAAAGGUUUACACUGCGUUUAAAAAUAUAUGUAGGCUUGUGAGAGAAAAAAUAACAGAAGGAAAUAGAGUAGCCGGUUGUGGUGGUGCACGACAGCAGGAUUUGCUGAAGGAAGCAGAGGCAGGUGGAUUUCCACAGAGAAACCCUGUCUCUGGGAAAAAAGAAACAAAAGAAAGUAAAAAUAAAGUAAUAAAAUAGCCACAUAAAGAUUGAAAAUACACAAAGAAUCUGGGUACUAUAUGCCAUAUUGUUGUCUUUAAAUUGUUUGAUUGCCGGGGAAAGACAUACUGCUGCUAAAAAUACAUUUGUUAUAAAUGCUGCUAAAUUACAUUUUAAAAAUGCUUUGGCUUCAAAAUUUAAGUCUAAGGACAGGCUACUUGGAAAAAGAAUUUCUGCUUAUGUUUCUACAGAAAAUAAAAAGCUAUGGAUUCCUUCCAGACUAAUAUGGUUUGAUCAAGCAAGACCCCCGGAAGCAGUGACCCAACUGAUCCUACAUUCAAAACAGCUGGGACGAUACAGCCUUACAGACUACAAAAACAAGGACUUGAUUUAGUUUGUUGAGACAAGGUCCCAUGUGUUCCAGUCUGGCUCUGAACUUGCUACUUGACUGAGGCUGGCACUGAACUCCUGAUCUUCCUAAUCCAGUCUUUCAGGUAAUGAUGCUGCCACUCCCUUCUGAGGAACUCAGAAACAAUGGAAUUAUUGUGGCUCUUUCCUACUACCACCAUGCCUCAGAUGAAUAAAUCCAUGGCAGAGUCUGGGUGAGGAUUACAAAAUGAAUCCCAGUUUCCACAAGUAGGUAAACCAUGACUGUAACACUGAAGCAGGCUCAAGGAACAGUGUGUGUGUGUGUGUGUGUGUGUGUGUGUGUGUGUGUGUGUUGUUAUUGUUGUUAGCUGUACAGUUAGAUCACCAAACUAAGAAGACACAGUGUUUUCUGUACUCUAAAACACUAAUACAAUAAUGACUUGGUCUCCAACUCACGUCUUUCAAAAUUUAUCUUUAAAUUCGAUUUUUAAAAGUUUAUGUACUAAAACAGCAGACUGAGAUAAACAGAGAAGUAUCUAAACUGUAGUAGGGGGAACUGAUUGCCUAAGUCUUAGGAAAUAUAAAGUCAUGGUUUACUAUGGACUAUUCUUAGUCUUUUUUAUUUAUGGUUAUUUGACUCUAAGCUUACUAUUCAGAGAUUCUAAAACAAUAAACUAAUGUGACUUUUAGAUGCAUAGAAUACAUAGUCUAAAAGAAAUUCAAUGUUAAGCAUAGCAAAAGAAUAAUGAUUCUAUCUCUGGGUUAAAGAAAGUUAAAUUUGUAACCGUGAAGAAAUCAUGUAAUGUACAUCUCUAGUUCAAGCAAUGUGUCUAAAUCUAAAUGGAUCACUAUCUUUUCAUUCAACCCACUGUUGUAUAUGUACAGAAAUUAGGUUAAAAAAACCUAUGAAAGAAAACACUCAAUUCUUAAAACUCAAAGAGAAAUAAAACAAGACAAUAAAAUCCAAAGCAUGUGCCCAUUUGCAGAAGGAUGAUGGAGAAAGACCAUGGAUUUUUCACUGAACUUCCUUCUCCCACAACACACACAAGUGGUAGUAGAAGAUAAAAGAUUUUUCAGUCCUAUCUGCAUGUAAAUUUGGCUUCAAAACUUGCCAUUAAUCUUAGGCCAAACUUUUAUUCUUACUCCUAGUGAGUCACAUAAUAUACAAAAGUUACUUUAUCUAUAAUGGUGGAAACUACUUUUUGUUGCAGGAUGGACUUGAUGACCCUCAUGUUUUUUUACAGCUUAGUUGGGGUAAAUAGUGACUGACUUAGACAAAAAGUGGAGAUAGCAAGUCUCAUUAAUUUUACUCCACAUGAAAACAAUGGAGGACCUGAAAAUCCUGGCUCAAAGUGUAUGUGUGUGUGUGUGUGUGUGUAUGGUGGGGGGGAGGGGCAACAGGCUUCUCGUUAAGAUGUCACUUUAUGUUUUUUACCAUCUGUGUAUGUGUACUUCUUUGUGAGUGCACAUGUAUGGGGGGGUGUGCAUGCAUACUUGUCACAGCACACAUGUGAGAGUCAGAAAAUAGCUUGUUUGUAGGAGUCAGUUUUUUCCUACCAUCAUGUGGAUUCUGGGUAUUGAAUUGAGGUCAUUCAAGGGUUUUGUGGCAAGCAUGUCACCUGCUGAGUCAUGUCAUCAGCCUGAUCCUAUUUUCCAAAGUAAAUUUUCUCAUAUUUCUUCACACUUAAGAAAUGCUUAAAAUUGUUCCCAUUAUAAUCCUUUGCACAAGAUCAGUUGGACUAGAAUUCAAAGAAUCAAGAUAAAGUAGCACUGAACAUGAGCAAACAAAGUUAUUUAGGGACAUGGGGGAGAAAGAGAGCACAAAAGACACAAACUGCUAAAAGAAGGAGUAGAAAGAGAGGAAGAAAAGAAAACAAGAAUUAAAAAAAUCAGGGAAGGAAAUUGAAGGCAUAGUUAAUAGUCUAAGAGAUGAAUAUUGAAAAAGGAAGAGACUAAGACAGGAAUAAAGCAUGGGGAGGGUGGGAAAAUAUAAAGCAGAAACAGCAGAGCAGAAUGGCAAGAAAGAUGCUUGGGUUUAAGGGAAAGAAAGCACAUAAAGGCUAGUGAUCAGCAAAUACUUCUCAAAUAAAAACAGCAAGGGAACAUAUGCAAAUAGGAGGAUGGGCAGGGAAGAGUCACAGGAGCCCAGAACUGCUUGCUUUCUUUUGUGAGUGAAGUUUAGAAGAUGGAUGGGAAAUGAUUUACAGGCAUCCAAAAUCCUGCUGUGGUGUUGCUAAGGAUCUGGUAUUAUGAUGUCAGCCUCAGCUAAGGCUACCAGUUUCCUCUGCAGUAAACUACAGCAGCUGUAUUUACAUCCAUCUGCAGUUUGCAAGCUGUUGUAAUUCCCAUAAGCUGAGCAUAGAUAGGCUAGGAAAAUUCUGGACAUCAAAGAAAAAGAACCUGUUUAUAGUGUAAAAACUAAAUCAAUAAAUAAAAUCUUAUACCUAUUUACUGAUAGUCUUGUUGCUUUAAUUUAUAAAGUUUGGUGGGGUGUUUUGUUUUUGUUGUUGUUUUCAGACUGUUUCCUUAACUUUAGUCAAUCUCAUGAAAA
ensembl:lncRNA